rnacentral:lncRNA from 1 species
CUGUGUGUGUGUCUUUCUCUGUGUCUCUGUGUGUCUCUCUCUAUGUGUCUCUGGCUCUCUCUGUGUGUGUCUCUCUCUGUCUCUCUGUGUCUGUCUCUGUCUCUGUGUCUUUCUCUGUCUCUCUGUGUCUGUGUCUGUCUUUGUCUGUCUGUCUCUGUGUCUCUGUCUCUCUCUGUCUCUCUGUGUCUGUCUCUGUCUUUGUCUUUCUGUCUGUCUCUAUGUCUCUGUCUCUGUGUCUCUGUCUGUGUCUGUCUCUGUCUUUGUCUCUCUGUCUGUCUCUCUGUCUCUCUGUGUCUGUGUCUGUCUUUGUCUCUCUGUAUGUCUCUGUGUCUCUGUCUUUCUUUGUUUCUCUCUCUCUCUCUCCCUCUCUUUCUCUCUCUCUCUCUCUCUCUGCCUGUUGAUCAUCUACUACACCAGCACUGUGUUCCCCACCACGAUGAUUAUGAUGGACUAACCCUCAUCUGUAAGCUAUAAGCACACCCCCAGUUAACUGCUUUCUUUUAUAAGUGUUGCCUUGGUUGUGGUGUCUCUCGAUACAGUAAAACAGUGACUAAGACAGAUACUUUAAAAGCAUUAGCUUGUGUAUUUUUAGGAUUAAUUGAAACCUUUCUCCUUUAGCUACCUGUUUUCUCAGAAUAACUCUCCCAUCGAUUCUGAGCUCUUGGGACAAAUGAUUGUCUUUUGUUUUUAAUUCAGAAAUUGAGACAAGGGAACAAACUAGAAUUCAAAAUUGAAAUUGUGUUGCACUGUGUGGUUAAAGAAAUAAACAAUCCUAGACCUGCUGAAGAGGUGCCCCGCACCCUGCUCCUCCCCAGCGCCCACUCCCUUCCGUGCUUCGGGAGCAUUGGGAGCCGCUCCUUCCUCAGAGGAGCUGACCUCAGCUGCGUCCCUGUCUUUAUGGUCCAACUCCCCCUGCCCCCUGCUUUAGGAGGGGCUAGGUUCAGAGGGCAUCUCACAGCAGGCUGCUCCCCAGUCUGUUGUGAGUGACUCCAGACAAGACUGCACUCCAGCUCCAAGGGACUCGCCACUUGCCAGCCUAGAGACGGGCCUUCGUCCACCUCUUCUGAGCUGAACUGAUCAGCUGCUCAGAGACCACAGACCCCACCUUCUGGCUGCUCUCUCCUGGAACCACCGAGGCUUCAGUGUGUUUAUGGGUUUCAGAACAUUCUGGACUGCCUUUGCGAGCUUAGUGACUGUGCAGUGAGUCUUGGGUUCCCUGUGUAACUUGCUGGUCCUACUCGUGCGAAGCUGCCAUGCUUCUCCCUGCAGCCCCCCUCACCUCCAACUUUGCACAGCUUUACCGGCAACUGAAUUGAAUUGGAGCCAAGGGUGGUUGCCAGGAACGCUGAAGAUUCGGACACUGGGGACAGAGGCAAGAGCGGCAGGUAACAUCUUAGUGACGUUCUCCUGGGUGAACAGUCCUGGGCUGCCUUUCUCUGGGUAGCCACGUUCUGUCUUGUCCACUUGUGGGUGAAGCGUAUUUGGUGUGUCUGCCCCUAUGGGGUCAUAAGUGCACAAGGGAGGUGCUAGCUCUUCCCCACUAGCCAAGGUGCCUCUGUAACUCCAGGAGACAGCCAGACUCCCCUCUCCUUCGUGUGCCCAGACUCGAGGUUAAGGAUUGCAUAGUUUUCUGUGAAUGUCGUUUUAUUUUUGUCAAUCUAUAUUUUUUUAAUCAUUGUGGUUUAUUCUGGAAUUUUGUAGCCCUAAUUUUGUACUGUGGGAUGCGGGAAACAAUUCUGAGCCCUUUCCUGCACCAGGCAGCUGUACUCUAUGCCUUUGAUGCUGUUUUCCUUGUGAGCACCGGUGUCAUUUACAAGACUGCAUAAAGAAGCAGAGAUUUAACAGCC